UCCAGGGUAGCUUAGUGGACAUGGCAUCUGCCCUGUAAGCGGAACACUGGGUUCGAUUCCCAUCCCUGGAC
rnacentral:tRNA from 1 species